rnacentral:rRNA from 1 species
GACGAACGCUGGCGGCGUGCUUAACACAUGCAAGUCGAACGGAAAGGCCCUGCUUUUGUGGGGUGCUCGAGUGGCGAACGGGUGAGUAACACGUGAGUAACCUGCCCUUGACUUUGGGAUAACUUCAGGAAACUGGGGCUAAUACCGGAUAGGAGCUCCUGCUGCAUGGUGGGGGUUGGAAAGUUUCGGCGGUUGGGGAUGGACUCGCGGCUUAUCAGCUUGUUGGUGGGGUAGUGGCUUACCAAGGCUUUGACGGGUAGCCGGCCUGAGAGGGUGACCGGCCACAUUGGGACUGAGAUACGGCCCAGAGUCCUACGGGGGGCAGCAGUGGGGAAUUUUGCACAAUGGGCGGAAGCCUGAUGCAGCAACGCCGCGUGCGGGAUGACGGCCUUCGGGUUGUAAACCGCUUUCGCCUGUGACGAAGCGUGAGUGACGGUAAUGGGUAAAGAAGCAACGGCUAACUACGUG